GGAUGAAUUAUGCUGUGUCCCUCAACGUUCCAUGUGCGUCCCUCCCAAAGCUGUGCGCUCAGUGGAAGAAGACAAGCAUCCCAGGUAGAAGGAGUGUACCAUUCUUCGGUCAAGGGUAUACAAUUGCUGUUCUCCCCUGGUGGAACCUCUAAACUUUUUGCUCAGCAUCUUCCAAUUUAAUACAUGCUCAGCAUCUUCCAUUUAAUACAUACUGCUGCACCUUACUUGGAUGUGUCUGGA